GUUUAAGAAAUACAUGUCUCGUCUCUAAAACUGCAGCAUUUAUUCUGAGAAUAUCUGAACUGCCUAUUAAAAGCAAGGGUCUCUGCCUGCAAUCUGUACACAAACCUGUGAUUCAAAUUCCAUCCGACAAAAUGUUUUGGUGUCUGAAAGGCAAUUGACUCUGUUUCUGUGCUGUGUCAUUUUUAACUUAUGUUCUCAGCUCGUGCUGUGCAGAUGCAUUUGUCUUCAUUAGACAGGUGUACCGGCGUGACAAAGGUAGUUAUGGUCCAACGUAGUUUUUGUGUUUGCUCAGCAGGUACUUGCGAGUACAAGAGUAAAAUUUGAAACAAAAUGUUUUAAUUAUUGAGUCUGAAAACAGUAUUCUAAGUACUGUCAGCCAACAGAAUUGGAAUUAGCUUUAGAUUAAUCAAUUCCUAGCUUUUUACUGAGGAAAAAUUCGGAAGAAAGAAACUGCAAACUCUCUGGAGGUAUUUAAUUUACAGCAGUGGCCAUUAAAGGAAACCUGCUUUGCCUUGGAUUCUUUACAAACCUUUCAAACUGAAGAAACUGAACAGAAGGAAAACUCUUGAGACACAGCGGUUCAUUACAGGACUGUUCUUCAGCUGGAUAAAUUGAAGGAGUGGCACCUUUGUAAUAAAACUGCAGAUCAUAUGCCUCCAGCAAGGAACAGAUUAAAAGGACAAACAAACAGAACUGUCACAUCAGAACCAUCGCCCAUUACCUUGGCCACUUCCAAUUAUCAACAUUUCCAAAAGCAGCUAUUCCACUUCUGAGCUGUAAGUUUACCUGAAAGGUUUUUAUAAAUUAAAACUGAAUUUUGAAAAGGCAAUCUUUGCGUAGGUUUCGCUUCAGAACAUUAGCAUUACAAAUAUUGUAUCUCAGCCAUAAAAUUGCUUUGUAAAAUUGUAUUGCCUUUCAUGCAUAUAAAUCUAUGCAUACAUAUAAUUUUAAAAAUGUAUAUAAUGCAGUUCAUGCUGUGUAUUUUACUAAAAAUACUAUUUAUAUUGUUAGAUAACAAUAUUUUAUGUUGUAUUUAUAUUUCAUAUAUUAAAAUCAUUUCUAUUUUCACGUGUACUUUACCCAUAUCCACAUCUUUCUGAAAGGAGAUUUAAUGCUGGAAAGAAUUAUGUUGAAGUUUAAUCAGAGUUUAGUAUAUCUGCUAGUGUU